rnacentral:rRNA from 1 species
GCUUAACACAUGCAAGUCGAGGGGCAGCGGGGGCGAAGCUUGCUUCGCCUGCCGGCGACCGGCGCACGGGUGAGUAACACGUAUGCGACCUGCCCCCCGCAGGGGGAUAACCGGGAGAAAUCCCGACUAAUACCGCGUAACGCCGCUGGGCUGCAUGGCCCGGCGGCCAAAGGAAGCGAUUCCGGCGGGGGAUGGGCAUGCGGCGCAUUAGCUAGUCGGCGGGGUAACGGCUCACCGAGGCGACGAUGCGUAGGGGUUCUGAGAGGAAGGUCCCCCACACUGGUACUGAGACACGGACCAGACUCCUACGGGAGGCAGCAGUGAGGAAUAUUGGUCAAUGGGCGGGAGCCUGAACCAGCCAAGUCGCGUGAGGGAAGACGGUCCUACGGAUUGUAAACCUCUUUUGCCGGGGAGCAACGGGGUCCUUGCGAGGGCCCGAUGAGAGUACCCGGAGAAAAAGCAUCGGCUAACUCCGUGCCAGCAGCCGCGGUAAUACGGAGGAUGCGAGCGUUAUCCGGAUUUAUUGGGUUUAAAGGGUGCGUAGGCGGGCUGUUAAGUCAGCGGUCAAAUGUCGGGGCUCAACCCCGGCCUGCCGUUGAAACUGGCGGCCUCGAGUGGGCGAGAAGUAUGCGGAAUGCGUGGUGUAGCGGUGAAAUGCAUAGAUAUCACGCAGAACUCCGAUUGCGAAGGCAGCAUACCGGCGCCCGACUGACGCUGAGGCACGAAAGCGUGGGUAUCGAACAGGAUUAGAUACCCUGGUAGUCCACGCAGUAAACGAUGAAUGCUAGCUGUCCGGUUCUACGGGACUGGGUGGCACAGCGAAAGCGUUAAGCAUUCCACCUGGGGAGUACGCCGGCAACGGUGAAACUCAAAGGAAUUGACGGGGGCCCGCACAAGCGGAGGAACAUGUGGUUUAAUUCGAUGAUACGCGAGGAACCUUACCCGGGGCUCAAACGCCAAAGGACAGCCGCUGAAAGGCGGCCUCCCUCCGGGGUCUUUGGCGAGGUGCUGCAUGGUUGUCGUCAGCUCGUGCCGUGAGGUGUCGGCUUAAGUGCCAUAACGAGCGCAACCCCCAUCGAAAGUUGCUAACGGGUGAUGCCGAGGACUCUGUCGAGACUGCCGGCGCAAGCUGCGAGGAAGGCGGGGAUGACGUCAAAUCAGCACGGCCCUUACGUCCGGGGCGACACACGGGUUACAAUGGCCGGUACAGCGGGAUGCCAGGGCGCGAGCCCGAGCGGAACCCGAAAACCGGUCUCAGUUUGGAUUGGAGUCUGCAACCCGACUCCAUGAAGCUGGAUUCGCUAGUAAUCGCGCAUCAGCCACGGCGCGGUGAAUACGUUCCCGGGCCUUGCACACACCGCCCGUCA